UGGGGAAUAUUGGACAAUGGGGGCAACCCUGAUCCAGCCAUGCCGCGUGAGUGAUGAAGGCCUUCGGGUUGUAAAGCUCUUUUGGCGGGGACGAUGAUGACGGUACCCGCAGAAUAAGCCCCGGCUAACUUCGUGCCAGCAGCCGCGGUAAGACGAAGGGGGCAAGCGUUGUUCGGAAUUACUGGGCGUAAAGGGCGCGUAGGCGGUUUGCUUAGUCAGGCGUGAAAGCCCUGGGCUUAACCUGGGAUGUGCGCUUGAUACUGGCAGGCUUGAGUGUGGGAGAGGUUGGUGGAAUUCCCAGUGUAGAGGUGAAAUUCGUAGAUAUUGGGAAUAACACCGGUGGCGAAGGCGGCCAACUGGACCACAACUGACGCUGAGGCGCGAAAGCGUGGGGAGCAAACA
rnacentral:rRNA from 1 species